UGUACCCCUCUCCAAACCUUAUCCAUAUCAGUCUCCUCCAAUUUUCCCCAACCUUAUCCAUCUCCCACCGUCGAGCGGCCCCAAAAUCCCGGCGUCGAUCCCCAUCGGAUCCCACACGGUCGGACGGUCCCGUUGCGGCUGCCGCUUGCACGAGUUCCGCUCGGGCCCCCCUGGCCGUCAGCUCGCCAAGAGCUGCUCGAGCGGAGGGCUCCUGGUUGCCGCUGCUAGCGUGGCCGCGCGCGAGCCAGGGUGCCUGGCCGCUGUGCACUCGCAUGGCCAUGCUUGAGCAGUAUGUGUGUCGCCUGGAUGUCGCUAGCUCGCGUGGCUGUGCUCGAGGAGCACGCGGGCCCGCCUAGCCACCGUGCAUGCUAGCUGCUUGGGGAGCAUGGGUGGCUCGCGUGGCUAUGCUCGAGCAGCACGCUGGCUGCUGGGGGAGCAAGCCCGCCUAGCUACCGCAUGCAAGUCCCGCGCCGAUUCCCGCGUCGAAUCCCAAGUUGCACAAGAUUCGGCUAAGUACGAGGGACGGGCACGCCAACAAGAACCUGGACAGUUCUUGGCUUCCUGCAUGGAUGGACCCUAAGUCAAGUUACUUGCUGGAAAUUAGACUCAGUUACAAUCCCAAAAAGCGUAGGAAGGACAUUUCAUACUUUAGCUUCAGCAAGGUUGUGGAUUCUUCACUAUGCAAUUUCAAGGACCCCGUCGAAGAAAUUGUUAAUCAGUACUUGUUAGAAAUAUGCCCUAGAGGUAAUAAUAGAGAUGAUCAUAUUUUGUUGUAUCCAUGAUGUAUUAUGUGUUCAUUAAGUAUCCAUGAAAAGCAACUUGUAUUGAUUGGCAAUUAUGUGAAUUGUUUGUGAGACUCUUUACUUGUAUGGUUAUUCUAAAGUUGUUCCUAGUUGGAGUUCAUGCAUGAACACACAUGAAUAUUAGACUAGCACAUGUAUUAGUUGAUGAUAGACAUGGAGAUGUCAAACUAAUAAUGUGGGCGCAUGUAUGACAUGAGGCUGGACCGAUCCAAUUCGAGAAAUAGUGAUUUCUCAUUACACAAUGUGUACGUUGUGUCCUUAGACCUGAGAUUGUCGCAUGUACUCAAGAUGUGAACCGACCUACUUAAGAGCCAUCAAACGCUACACCGUAACUGGAUAGUUAUAAAAGUGGUUCUCGGGUUUGUCAACAAGCAUGCUGUGAGAUAUGAUCAGUCAAGAUGGGAUUUGCCCCUCUCUGCUUGAGAGAGAUAUCUCUGAGCCCCUUGAGUGAUCGGAUCAAGAAAUGCAUGGCCGUGCUAGGGUUAAGUAUUAACCAAGGAUUCCGGAUCACGGCAUCAAGAAAGAGAUGUCAGCUUGGAGCUAGACCAAAUAUCAUGAGGCAAAGGGAAUUGUAUAUGAGAUUGUGAUGGCUCGUCUGAUAUGAUCUUUGCGCGCGCAUAGGAGUUGACACGUCUUGCUAGAGGCCGCUGUCAACUAUUGGCUGAGUAGGAGUACUCGCGCCAUGUCUGUUCGCGCGUGAGCCCAUAGGGUCACGCACUUAAGGGGCUGGAAGCCUAAUGAGGAUAUGAUCCCAAUUAGACUGGGUUUAGGUGCACUAAUGGACAUCAGUUAGAAAGCCUAUUAGUGGGAACCUAUAAAAGAAGGGGUGGGGCACAUGGAGGUGCUAACCCUAAUUCCACGACUGCUGGCAGCCGCCUGUUCCCACGCCUGCGCCCACGGUUGCCCUCGUGGACCUAGCAGUCUGGAGUGCAAGGCUUCUUCCCCCUACGUGUGGAUACCUUGAAGGUGCUGCAUCUGCUGCAUGUGGAUGAGCUGCACGUGAGGAGGUUUUGUAACUGCACUGCCGGCGACCAACUGCACUACCCCGACGCGCUAUAGAAGUUCCGCACCCGCGCAUCUAGUGGUAAUUCCGUGAUCUAUAACAGCGGUUUUCCUGGUUUAUGCGGUGGAAAUUUUUAUUUAUCGCUAGCGUAGCCCACCUCAUAUCCCUUCAGUGGUAUCAAAGCCUGUAGCUGCUUCAUUAUAGGUUUGGAUGUAUGCGUAUGGAGAUAUGCGUGGAUGUAGAUGAAACCCUAAUCCUGUUUCGUGGCCUCGCUAUGAUGGUCGUGUAAUGACAUACUCCUACUGGUCGGGUAUCCGCCAUCGGAGUUAAGUGAUACACGUAAACCCAGUCAAAGCAGGCGGAGAUCAAUGAGAUUGGUCAAAUCAAAACCCAAGACGAAUCAUCAGAUGCUAUGAUGCGUGGGGUGGUAGAUUGUAUUUGCUACUGGAUUGGGGAAGUUGCAGAAACAUGCUAUUCGGUAAAACAGCCAUAACUUUUGCAUAUGAACUCGGAUUGAGGCGAAUUUUAUAUGAAAAUUCAUGUACAAAAAAUUUUACACAUGAAAUUCAACCCUUUCAGCAUUUUUUCUGAAAUUAGAUUUCCCAAAAAUGACUUGGAAAAUGGAGUUUCAGGCAUUCAAAGUUUAGAUGCUGUUGCGCCUAACUUGUUUUUGCGGGAUCAUGUGUGAUCGGUAUGGCCCUUAUAUGUAUGUGAUGCAUGUAUGUAAUUUUCACGAUCUGCAUGUCGUGAGUAAUGCAAUACGGUAGGAGCCAAAUGUAUUGCCAAUUUAUAUAAUGGCCUAUGUGCCAACCUGUGAUGAUCCGAUCCGACAAUGUAUCUAGAUUUCGGUAGUUAUAGUUCUUGGAGGACUCAUCACUUGGAGGAUGGUGCACAUGGAACAUGGAGAUGGAGAUCAUCAUGGUGGAUAGACUCUAUGGAGAUGGAGAUCACCAUGUGAAUAUGGGCCAUACUAAUUCACAACUAUGUGUUUGCCAUUCUUAUCAUUUUACUUCUACAUGCGAUAAUGUGUUUUCUGCAUACGGUAGAAGUAGACCGAUCAAUCCCUCGCAAUGUUUAAGUUUGAAUGCCCUCCCAACUAAACCUUGCUCCAUCGCGUGUCUUGUACAAUUAGUGGUGGGUCUAUGAAAUUAGGGUGCCACUAGUGUUCCUUGACUUGAUGAGUUUGUAUCGGAUACUUACAGGCAUAAAGGGUUGGUAAGCUUAAACAAGGUCAUCUUAACAGCUAAGGACCUUGGGGCAUAAAGGUUGGGAGCCGAGACAUAGAAAUGUCACCCAACAACAAGAGUCAUAUGUGAUAUGAUUAGCAAAGAGUUGCUUACCGAUCUACCUAUCUUCUAGCGGUGAUGCUAAAGCUCACUAGUUGACUUGAUAGUUGUGGGUCUUGAAUCACUAAGUAUAAAUGGAGGGAUAUUGAUUUUAGUGGGAGUAAAUUCUAUUAAAUGUUUAAUGUGAUUUACUCUAUCAUGGAUACAUUUGUCUUAGUAUUUUGCAUUAUUAUUCUGCUAUAGAUCAAUGGCACCCAGCACCACCACAUCUUUUAUUUUGCGUUCGAUCCUUGAGAAGGAUAAGUUGAAUGGGACUAACUAUACAGAUUGGAUCCAUAACCUGAGAAUUGUUCUCAGAGCUGAGAAAAAGAAAGAUGUUCUGGAUGCCCAUUACCAAAAGAGCCUGCUGAUGAUGCAACUGCUGCUGUCAAGAAUGCUUAUAAGAAAGCAUGCGACAACAAUCUUGAAGUGAGUUGCCUUAUGCUCGCUUGCAUGGAACCCGAGCUGCAGAUGCAGUUUGAGACAAACCGUGAGGCACAUGAUAUGAUCGUGGUGCUUCAGGACACGUUCCAGACACAAGCCAGGACUGAAAGGUUCAAUGUGUCCAAGGCCUUCGUUGAGAGCAAGCUGGCAGAGGGCGCAGCAGUGGGGCCGCAUGUGAUCAAGAUGGUUGGUUACAUGCAGAGGUUGGAGAAGCUGGGCUUCCCACUCGACUAAGAGUUGGCCACUGAUUUAAUUCUUGCGCCUUUACCUCCGAGCUAUGGGAAAUUCAUCUCGAACUACCACAUGCACAGGGCUGAAAAGGGCUUGAAUGAGCUAUGUGGCAUGCUCAAGAUAGUAGAAAGUGACAUCAAGAAGAGCACGGGUGGCGGUCAUGUGAUGGCGGUCCAGAACAAGCCUAACUUUGAGAAGAAGGGUACUUCUUGGAAGACGAAGGGCAAGGCUAAGGUUGAGAACCCCAAGCUGAACCAAGAUCCUAAGGCUAAAACUGGACCAACUGCUAACACUGACUGCUUUCACUGUCAUGAAAAGGGUCACUGGAAGAGAAACUGCAAGACGUACCUAGCUUCUUUGAAGGACCGCGGAAGUAAGAGUACUUCCACAUCAGGGGCUGACAAGAAGUAGAAGUGUGGCAAGAGGAGCAGUUGUUUUCCAGAGAGAGCAUCGGAUUUGCUGGAACUCAUACAUACUGAUGUGUGCAGACCAAUGGGCACGACAGCUAGAGGAGGAUUCCAAUACUUCAUAACUUUCACUGAUUUGAGUAGAUAUGUCUAUGUCUAUUUGAUGAAGCAUAAGUCUGAAACCUUUGAAAAGUUCAAGGAAUUUCAUAAUGAGAUUGA